rnacentral:lncRNA from 1 species
AGAAUAAAGAGAAUGAGUCAGAAAUGCAGAGACUCACAUUUUUUUUAUUAUUGUUGUCUCCGUAGCACCCCACAAAAAAAAGUCCUGGAGCCUGAACUAUGAUUAAAUGUAAUAUACUGCAUGCCAAUGAUUUUGAGCAUAAGAUGCAAUCAGUGUAUGAUAAGCUACCGAUCACCCCAAAAGCCACUGGCAGAAACAAGGAGAGAAGAAAGGAGUAACAAAUCGGUGAUGGAACAGGAAGGAAUCAACUGAGGGAAGCAAAGGGCUGCUGAGUCACAAGCAUGACAGGCAACUAGAAUCAGCCCGGGCUCCCCAGAGCUGCUGCUCAUCCUGAACACUGCGGG